GCCCCUCCACGCGGGGCCAGGGGCAGAAUGGGCUUCUCGCUUCUCCUCACGAAACAAAGAAGCAGCCGCCGCAGCCGCCGAGCGAGGGUACUGUGCAACUCCUCUGCCCCCAUGGAGGUUUCUAUUCUAAAAAAACAGACAAAGAAACAUUAACCUGUGUGAUGAAUCGCCAAUAGGAGAUUAGUUCAAAACACAAGCCUGGAGAAUUUUCUGUUUUCUUCAAAGCUGGUUCUUCGUGCAGAGACUGCCAUCCAUCUAAGCUGCUCCACUGCAGAGGUCACUUCUCUUUUAACUCUUCUAGGUUAAAAACCUCACAGAAGAGAUGGCCGGCCUGGAUGAAGUCAUAGCUAAGCUGACCAAGGAGAAGAAGGCCCUCCAGGAGGCCCAUCAGCAGACCCUGGAUGACCAGCCAAGCUCCACCACAGGUUCCAGGCUGGUUCCAACAAUGGCGGCAUUUCUUCAGCCUUUCCAGAAGACGUCAUGGAAUGCGAAGUCAAGUGGACCUGAGGAAGCAUCGCUACGAACGAAACUAGAGGAGGUGAUGGAAUUCCAGUUGAGCUAUUUCAAAUCCU